rnacentral:rRNA from 1 species
CGUAGGGUGCGAGCGUUGUCCGGAAUUAUUGGGCGUAAAGAGCUCGUAGGCGGCUUGUCGCGUCGACUGUGAAAACCCGCAGCUCAACUGCGGGCCUGCAGUCGAUACGGGCAGGCUAGAGUUCGGUAGGGGAGACUGGAAUUCCUGGUGUAGCGGUGAAAUGCGCAGAUAUCAGGAGGAACACCGAUGGCGAAGGCAGGUCUCUGGGCCGAUACUGACGCUGGGGAGCGAAAGCGUGGGGAGCGAACAGGAUUAGAUACCCUGGUAGUCCACGCUGUAAACGUUGGGCGCUAGGUGUGGGGGGCCUCUCCGGUUCCCUGUGCCGCAGCUAACGCAUUAAGCGCCCCGCCUGGGGAGUACGGCCGCAAGGCUA